AUGAAAAUCCCCCCAGCAAAGGCUGAGAAAAUCGCUUCCCAGAUGAUCACUGAAGGACGCAUGAAUGGCUUCAUCGACCAGAUAGACAGCAUUGUACACUUUGAGACCCGUGAAGCCCUUCCUACCUGGGACAAACAGAUCCAGUCUCUGUGUUUCCAAGUCAACAACCUCCUAGAAAAGAUCCGUUCGGCUGCUCCAGAGUGGGCGGCACAGGCUAUGGAAACCCAGAUGACCCAGUAAACAUCCCCACCCCUCCAGAAGAAAAAAAAAUCCCCUAAACUGUUCUCUCCUCAGCCUGUCCUAAAGUGAUGUCUCCCUGCUCAAAAACGUCACCACUUCAGUCCCAGUAAUGGAAGAGUCCAAGGAGAAGCCUCUGGUAUCACCAUCACUUGUUUGAAUUUUCAGAGAACACUUGUUUUAUUACUUUUGCCCACAACUGAAACAAGUUUGAUGUUUCUCAAUAUUUCCGAUCUGUAUCUGACAUAGAUGUAUUCACAGGGGGAUUACAAUGUAACGUUUAGGUGUGGCUUUAUAUUAUUUACUUGUUAUGUUAAACAUUCGGAUGUGAUUUAAUUCAGAUAGUUGACAUGUAAUAGGGUCAAAAAGAAGUGAAACAUGCGGGGGAACAACUGGUGUCUUGAAGCUUAUUUUGCGUUCCAACACAUUGUUCUGUGUUUAACUAAACAUAAUGACACAGCAAUGUCUGUCAAGUUGAUUUAUGGCGUCAUGUAAAACUUUCUCGGUCCACACAUGGAAUUUCAGCAACGAGAAUUAAAUUCAAAGCGGAGAGAAAUUGUUCAA